rnacentral:rRNA from 1 species
GACGAACGCUGGCGGCGUGCCUAAUACAUGCAAGUUGAGCGCUGAAGGUUGGUACUUGUACCAACUGGAUGAGCAGCGAACGGGUGAGUAACGCGUGGGGAAUCUGCCUUUGAGCGGGGGACAACAUUUGGAAACGAAUGCUAAUACCGCAUAAAAACUUUAAACACAAGUUUUAAGUUUGAAAGAUGCAAUUGCAUCACUCAAAGAUGAUCCCGCGUUGUAUUAGCUAGUUGGUGAGGUAAAGGCUCACCAAGGCGAUGAUACAUAGCCGACCUGAGAGGGUGAUCGGCCACAUUGGGACUGAGACACGGCCCAAACUCCUACGGGAGGCAGCAGUAGGGAAUCUUCGGCAAUGGACGAAAGUCUGACCGAGCAACGCCGCGUGAGUGAAGAAGGUUUUCGGAUCGUAAAACUCUGUUGGUAGAGAAGAACGUUGGUGAGAGUGGAAAGCUCAUCAAGUGACGGUAACUACCCAUAAAGGGACGGCUAACUACGUG